rfam:Loxodonta africana unplaced genomic scaffold scaffold_21, whole genome shotgun sequence.
UGAUGCAAAUGGUUAAUGUGCUUGGCUGCUAAUCAAAAGGUUGGAGGUUCAAGCCCUCCCA